GUAGAUUUCACUUGCGACGCCUACUGAUUUCUUUCUGCAUGUCUACUAAAGACACAGGAGUUCUGGUCAUUCAUUCUUACCUAUUAUAAUUUCUUCUUCCCACAUUAGCGGCAAUUCAAUGCAUGCAUCAGAUAACAACAUCUCAAAUACUUACUCUUCCGUCAGGACUUGACAGAUUUAGCAGGCCUUUGAGGAAUGUCAGCAUUGAUUAGUAACAGAUGGUCACCGAGGAGGAUGUGUCUCGCUUGUGGCAGUCAAGGAGGUUCAGCAGGUCAACAAUGGCUGCAGGAAAUCAUCAGGUCUUUUUUUGCAGCUACAGCAAUAUGAUGAAAUACCUAUAUUUCAGCAUUGCAGACACAUCUAAUAUCUUCCAGGUCCUCUUGUGACCUUCGUAAAGAAGAACUACGGUUUGUACCUGUGAUCCCAAGAGAAGCAAUGGAAAAUAAUCUUACCUAAAAUAAAAAUAUGAGCAUAUGGCUCACUGCCUCAAGAAAAUAUUCUUCUUACACAUUAGCCUUGUAAUCCAAACCCUAACUGUGUCAGUAAUGUACUACCAACUUCCCAAAUCAAGCAUAAUUUACAAAACAACACCAAUUGGUAUUUCAAGCUAUUUGAAAUGAGAAGAAAGAAGGAGCUGGAGAAGGACUUCUCUCUCCCUCACACAAAAAAUUGCAGUACAUAAUAAAUAUCUAUAUAUCCAU
rnacentral:lncRNA from 11 species